GGAAAGGUGAAAAGAACCCCGAACAGGGGAGUGAAAUAGAACCUGAAACCAUACGCUUACAACCUGUCGGAGCAGCUUCGUGCUGUGACGGCGUGCCUAUUGAAUAAUGAGCCUACGAGUUACUAAUCACUGGCGAGGUUAAGUGCACGGAUGCACGGAGCCGAAGCGAAAGCGAGUCUUAAUAGGGCGUUUAGUCAGUGGUUGUAGACGCGAAACCUUGCGAUCUACCCUUGAGCAGGUUGAAGGUUGGGUAAAACCAACUGGAGGACCGAACGAAUAAGCGUUGAAAAGCUUCUCGAUGACUUGAGGGUAGGGGUGAAAGGCUAAUCAAGCUGGGAAAUAGCUCGUACUCCCCGAAAUGCCUUUAGGGGCAGCGUUGUAAUUAAGAGUCUACUGGAGGUAGAGCUACUGAUUGGAUGCGGGGGCUUCACCGCCUACCAAAUCCUGACAAACUCCGAAUGCCAGUAGUAUGAUUUACAGCAGUGAGCGACCGGGUGCUAAUGUCCGGUCACAAAAGAGGAACAACUCAGACCAGCAACUAAGGUCCCCAAGAGUAUGCUAAGUUGAUCUAACGAUGUUUUGUUGCAGAGACAGCUAGGAUGUUAGCUUGGAAGCAGCUAUUCAUUCAAAGAGUGCGUAACAGCUCACUAGUCGAGCGACAAAGCGUGGAUAAUAAACGGGCAUCAAGUAUACCACCGAAGUUCUGGGCACGAAAGUGCGGUAGGGGAGCAUUCCAUUCUGCGUCGAAGCCGAAUCGUGAGAUUUGGUGGAGCGUAUGGAAAAGCAAAUGUAGGCAUGAGUAACGAUAAUGCGGGAGAGUAACCCGCACACCGCAAGACCAAGGUUUCCUGAUCAACGCUAAUCGGAUCAGGGUUAGUCGGGUCCUAAGGGUAAGCCGAACGGUGAUCUCGAUGGAUAAUCGGUUAAUAUUCCGAUACUGACAUAUACCUCGAUGGAGAGACGAAGGAACGUAAGUGCCGCCACCUGACGGAAUAGGUGGUUAAAGGGCGUAGGUAUAGGGGCAGAUUAAGAGUUAGUCCUUGCUGAAACCUGACAGUACAGAGAGCCUACGGGCAAUUUGAUAGUGCACCCAAGUCGACUUCCGAGAAAAUCUUCUAAGUUAUAGUAUAUGUCACCCGUACCGUAAACCGACACAGGUGGUCGAGGAGAGUAUCCUAAGGUGCUCGAGUGAAUCACGGUUAAGGAACUAGGCAAAUUAACCCCGUAACUUCGGGAAAAGGGGUCCCACCGCGAGGUGGGCGCAGCGAAGAGGUCCAGGCGACUGUUUAUCAAAAACACAGGGCUCUGCAAAUUCGAAAGAAGACGUAUAGGGCCUGACACCUGCCCGGUGCUGGAAGGUUAAGAGGGGAUGUCAUCGCAAGAGAAGCAUUGAAUCGAAGCCCCAGUAAACGGCGGCCGUAACUAUAACGGUCCUAAGGUAGCGAAAUUCCUUGUCGGGUAAGUUCCGACCUGCACGAAUGGUGUAACGAUCUGGACACUGUCUCAACCGUGAGCUCGGUGAAAUUGUAGUCCCGGUGAUGAUGCCGGGUACCCGCAACGGGACGAAAAGACCCCGUGAACCUUUACUAUAGCUUAACGCUGAAUUUGGGUACACAAUGUGUAGGAUAGGC
rnacentral:rRNA from 1 species